GGAAGUACCCCUCUAUAAAUUAGCAAUAAACCCUGGGCUAUACUCACUAACGUUUGCGGUUUGCUCUCUUCAUUUGCGACGCGAGCGUGAUUGGUUUACGAGGACGACGUCGACGUCCGCGGUUCACCGGAAACUCUUGGCCUUUUAUUUAUAUUUUUAUCAUCGGAAAAAGUGAUGGAUGAUCAGACUUUGGGAUUCUUUGCGAGCUUUCUCGGCGUGUUCAUAUUUCUUAUGGCUAUUGUUUACCAUUACGCUAUGGCAGAGCCAAAAUACAGAAGCAACUAGACCUUCAUCAUCUUCGUAGAACAAGAAAACUAGAACUUCAUCGACUCCAAGAAAAAGAAAGACCUGUACUUUGUGUCUUAUGCGUGAAAGGUUAUUAGGAACUGGCAGGUCUAAUUGAAUUGUGUCAUGAUACAUGAUGCUUACAGCGUUCUACAAACUGGCAUAAUUCCCAAAUUGGCCAUGUUCCGAGUAUGGUUGUAUCUUCGUUUGCAUCUAUUUCUAUAUCGCGCGUGAACAGCCACGUUUAACUUGUCUGCUGUAGUUCUCU